rnacentral:piRNA from 1 species
UGGUGUGUUCUAACAUUAUCUAUUGAUUC